UACGUAGGGUGCGAGCGUUGUCCGGAUUUAUUGGGCGUAAAGGGCUCGUAGGCGGUUUGUUGCGUCGGCUGUGAAAUCCCGAGGCUCAACCUCGGGUCUGCAGUCGAUACGAGCAAACUAGAGUGUUGCAGGGGAGACUGGAAUUCCUGGUGUAGCGGUGAAAUGCGCAGAUAUCAGGAGGAACACCGGUGGCGAAGGCGGGUCUCUGGGCAACAACUGACGCUGAGGAGCGAAAGCGUGGGGAGCGAACAGG
rnacentral:rRNA from 1 species